rnacentral:snRNA from 1 species
GGAUGUGAGGAUGAUCUGGCUGCGACAUCUGUCACCCCAUUGAUCACCAGGUUGAUUCAGCAGAUCUGGCUGGCUAGGCAGGUGUCCACUUCCUCCCUCACCGCUCCANGUGUGUCCCUCCCAAAGCUGCGUGCUCGGUCAAAGAGAACGACUUUCCCCGAUACAGGCAGUACCGUUCAUCGGUCACGGGUGUUCGGUAGCUGCACUCCCCUGCUAGAGCCUCCAAACAAGCUCAGGGACCAGCUGUAGGAGAAUGUAAGGUAGUCAAGCUUCCAAGGCUGCAGACACAUCCAAGUGAGGCACUGCAUGUGGCAGUCUGCCAUUCUUU